UUUUUCUUUCUCUUCUUCUGCUUCUUUCCCUGGUUCUCUUUCGGUCGAGAUUUAAGAGUUGAAAUAAGAAAUUUUGGGAUCAGUAGAGGUAGCGAAUGAUCAAGGAGAAGGCUGAUACGAUUUUUGUAUUCAGAGUUAUCGAAGAAGUUGGUCUUUAUUAACAACGGUCGAUCCAAAGGGUGAAGCAUUGGAUUGUGGAUUUCGAGGUAGGCGUGGUUUACCUUCAAUAUCAGUUUUCAGUUAUCAGAAGAAAUGAUGCAGUGAAGAUAUCCAUUUUCGUAGUUUAAAGCGCUACCGAACUAAGUUAUGUUUAUGUAUCUUUUAUAUAUAUACUCUGUUUAUUUAUUGUAAAA